rnacentral:rRNA from 1 species
CAGUCGCCACGGUAAUACGAAGGGGGCUAGCGUUGUUCGGAAUUACUGGGCGUAAAGCACACGUAGGCUGACAUUUAAGUCAGGGGUGAAAUCCCGGGGCUCAACCCCGGAACUGCCUUUGAUACUGGGUGUCUUGAGUGUGGAAGAGGUCAGUGGAAUUGCGAGUGUAGAGGUGAAAUUCGUAGAUAUUCGCAGGAACACCAGUGGCGAAGGCGGCUGACUGGUCCACAACUGACGCUGAGGUGCGAAAGCGUGGGGAGCAAACAGGAUUAGAUACCCCAGUAGUCCCUGUCUCUUAUAC